CCAUUAAUCUUUCCUUAGGUGUAAUCUAGCUCCCGUGGUGGAGUUCGCUGCGGAUGUGGGGACUAAGUCAGAUUUCAUUACCAUGAAUCCAUCAGUUGUGCAAAGAGCAUUCGGAGGCUUUCGGAAUGAGAGUGACAGAGAAAAAUUUGUGCACAGACUCUCCAUGCUGAAUGACAGCGUCCUUUGGAUUCCUGCCUUCAUGGUCAAAGGAGGAGAGAAGCACGUGGAAUGGGUUAAUGCAUUAAUCCUUAAGAAUAAACUGAAAGUGAGGACUGCCUAUCCAUCACUGAGACUCAUUCAUGCGGUCAGAGGGUAAGUGGCUGGAAAGGACCAGUCUGUCCUUGACACAAUAGAAUGCGUAAUUAAAGAGCAUCUCUCAGGAAAGGGACACCAAUAAAUCCUCCGAAAU
rnacentral:lncRNA from 1 species